CUAAAACGUGGCCUUCCAUCAGUCAAAUGGUGGCAUAGCCCACUAAAGCCUGGCCUGCAGCCACAGCGAGCCGGCCAAAAGGCAAGCCGCAGUGGCACACCCCAGCUAUACAGAUGGAUGCCUAGCGCCCUUCCAGCUGCAGAGCUUCUCAGGACUGGAGGAGGAAGGAAGAACUUUUCCUUGAAUGGUUUAAGAAGUGUAGCAGUUAUCAAAGAGUCCCGUGUAAGAAGGGACUUCAGAAAAGUGAAGGCUGCCAAUCCGAGUAGUACUCAGAUGUGAGGGACUGCUGAUCUUGGAUUUUUCCAUUAAAUUCAGCUGAUCAUAUUGAUCAAUAGAUAAACGUAAGUGGCCUCACAUUUUAAAGAUCAAAUUGCAGUGUUUCUCACUGUGCCAAACAAUGUCAGUGCUUUAUUUAAUAAUUCUCUUCUGUGCCAUGGCAUUUGUCUACUUAUGUAUCACACUGUCACUUACUCGUUUAUAAUCAAACAUGUAACGUAUAUAAAUGUAAUGUGCAUUAUUGCCAGUUUUAUUCAAUAGGCUAUGGACCUCAUGUGCAUAUAAAAAGACAAAACUCUAGCUCUACCACAAAUUUCACAGGUGUUAUCUACACAUUAAGUAAUUGUAGAACACAGGACUGCUAAUCUCAGCUCGCUCUGUGAUGUCAAGUGCAGAAUGUAAGUUAACUAGUGAUUUCCGUAUACUUUUGAUAUCACUUGUAUCUGUGUAUCUUUUAGGAAGACACUGGUGGAGGCUGUCCCCUUUGUAUUUCUACAUACAACAAUUGUACAUAAAGCCUUAUCUAAAUUUUUAAUAAAUUGUGC
rnacentral:lncRNA from 1 species